rfam:Callithrix jacchus chromosome 18, whole genome shotgun sequence
CCGCCCGGCCGGCGACGUUGCGGGCCCUGGGCGCCAGAGAGCUUCCCGGAGCCGACCUUCCAGCUGUCUGCUCUGUGGUCGCUUCCCGGCUCUCCCUUUUGGCCGAAGCCCCCGCUGCUGGGUGCGGGCCUCACUCAGGUAACGG